rnacentral:rRNA from 1 species
GACGAACCGUCCGAACGUUAUUCGGAAUCACUGGGCUUAAAGGGUGCGUAGGCGGGCGCGGAAAGUUGGGUGUGAAAUCCCUCGGCUCAACCGAGGAACUGCGCCCAAAACUACCGUGCUCGAGGGAGAUAGAGGUGAGCGGAACUUAGGGUGGAGCGGUGAAAUGCGUUGAUAUCCUAAGGAACACCGGUGGCGAAAGCGGCUCACUGGAUCUUUUCUGACGCUGAGGCACGAAAGCUAGGGUAGCGAACGGG